UGGGGACAUUAAAAAAAUGAAAUGAAAAAUAAAAGAAUUAAAACUGAAUUAAAAUCUGUUUGAAAGAAAAGAAAUAAAGUGAAAUAAAAGAACAAGAAAUAACACCUAAACUAAAAAAAUGCAAUACUGAAAUUAAAAUGAUUUAAACUAAUGAAUCUCUUAGUUAUAUACCUAUUCUAGAAAUCUAAUUGUAAAUGCAAAGACUAUAUCAUCACAGAACAACAACUGAAACCAAGAAAUAAAAAGCUAAGCUAUUAUCAACCAAUUAAAAAAAAAUCCUAACAUCAACUAUCUAUCAAAAUUCAACAUCUCACAGACCUAGAAAUUGUAUCUAAAAGUGAACAAAACUGCAAUAGAAAGCCUAGAACCAGUAUGAAC
rnacentral:lncRNA from 1 species